rnacentral:ncRNA from 1 species
AGCCGACAAUACUAAACCAUCCGCGAGGGUGGGACGGAAAACCUAAUGGGUCUCAUUGAGAUAGCCGGGUCGCCGAA